CUCCCAUUGGCAGGUCCAGGAGAGCCCUACAGCAGGGGAGCGCCUGCCUCUGUGCUCUCAGGUCAGGGAGUCCUGGCUCCAUUUGUUAGAAGCAUAGAGUUAUAUAGUCAUAGAAGCAUUAAGGUUGGAAAAGAGCUCUGAGAUAACUGAGUCCAAUCAUUAUUCUAUCCCCAACAUGUCACUAAACCAUGUCCCUAAGUGCCACAUCUAUGCAUUUCCCAAACACCUUCAGGGAUGCUGAUUCCACCACUUCCAUGGGCAGCUAGUUCCUGAUUACUCUUUCGGAGAAGUGUUUCCUAAUCCCCAACCUGAACAUCCCCUGGUACUACUUACAGUCAUUACCUCUCAUCCUGUCUCUGCUACCUAAGAGAAAAGGCUGACCCCUUACCUCAUUACAGUCUCCUUUCAGGUCACUGUAAGAGCAAUAAGGUCUUCCUUGAGCCUCUUCUUCUCUAGACCAAACAACUCCAGGUCCCUCAGCCUCUCUCCACAAGACUUGUGCUCCAGACCCUUCACCAUUUUCAUUGUUCUUUUGACUUCUCCCAAUCCCACAAGUUGCCAGUCCUAAAAGGGCCAAUCCCAAAAGUCACUCAGUGCCAUCGGGAUCCAUGGAUGCUCCUGUAACCCAGUGGGACCAACCUAAGGACUGAUCUGAAAUCCAGCAAAAUGGAGGAAAAAGAAACCUCAGUGAUAGUUUGCUGUGGAGUUUCUUUGCCUGUCAGACUGAUUGCCAGUUUCUGCACGUUUUCAGCUUAUUUUUCCCUAGGUGAUUCUCUCCCUUGUGCUACAGGAAGAGCCAGCUGAGCACUGUACAGGACAGGGCAGCCAGGCAAAGCAGGAGAAACACUGCUGGGAGUGGAACAGAGACAUCAGCAUUCAAAGAGCGCGCGUAUUCGGAGUGCGGAGGAGAGAGCGCGGGAUGUACGGGCAGCGCUGCUCCGAACUUUGAGUGGGCAGAAGAACCGAAAAGCGUCUUCGGAACCAGUAAGAAAAACCCCAAACCGUCAUUUAACGGAGAAAAAUAUAUAUCUUAAUUCCCCCUACGCCAAGCCAGGCGCUCCUUCGGACCCAGCCGCGCUGCAAGGAGGGGGUGUCAGCACCGCCAACAAAC
rnacentral:lncRNA from 1 species